UAGUCCACGCCGUAAACGAUGGUCACUAGCUGUUUGGACUUCGGUCUGAGUGGCUAAGCGAAAGUGAUAAGUGACCCACCUGGGGAGUACGUUCGCAAGAAUGAAACUCAAAGGAAUUGACGGGGGCCCGCACAAGCGGUGGAGCAUGUGGUUUAAUUCGAUGAUACGCGAGGAACCUUACCAGGGCUUAAAUGUAGAGUGACAGAUCUAGAGAUAGAUUUUUCUUCGGACACUUUACAAGGUGCUGCAUGGUUGUCGUCAGCUCGUGCCGUGAGGUGUCAGGUUAAGUCCUAUAACGAGCGCAACCCCUGUUGUUAGUUGGCAGCAUGUUAUGAUGGGGACUCUAGCGGGACUGCCGGUGCAAACCGAGAGGAAGGUGGGGAUGACGUCAAAUCAUCACGGCCCUUACGUCCUGGGCUACACACGUGCUACAAUGGUCAGUACAGAGGGCAGCCACUACGCGAGUAGGAGCGAAUCCUUAAAACUGAUCUCAGUUCGGAUCGG
rnacentral:rRNA from 1 species